AAAGGUGACAAUCUACCAUUUAGUUAGUUUCAGAGAGGAACUCAAUUGCAGCGGAACAGCAAAUUCCUUAUAAUCACAAUGCUCAGGAGCACCUAGAAACUGGAAACAGGCCCCAAAAGAUGUGGUGGCACUGAGGCUUUUAAUAUAGAAGCAACAGGUAUUCAAAAGGGGGCAGGCUGUCAGACAGUCCAGAGAUCAAAGGCAGGCAGCUAGAGAGCAAGAUCAAAAAUGAAGCCAAAGGUCAAAAGCCGGGAAGGCAGCAUCAAGAGUCUAGAGCUUGGCACAAGAACAACCAAACACUGAGUGGGGGAAAUUUAUGGGUUAUACAGGCUGACAAAAUCACAUGACCGGC